ACGAACGCUGGCGGCGUGCUUAACACAUGCAAGUCGAACGGUGAAGCGCCUUCCUUUUUGGUGGGUGUGGAUGAGUGGCGAACGGGUGAGUAACACGUGAGUAACCUGCCCCCUUCUUCUGGAUAACCGCAUGAAAGUGUGGCUAAUACGGGGUAUUCUGGGUCUGUCGCAUGAUGGGUCUGGGAAAGAUAUUGUUUCGGUGGGGGAUGGGCUCGCGGCCUAUCAGCUUGUUGGUGGGGUGAUGGCCUACCAAGGCGGUGACGGGUAGCCGGCCUGAGAGGGUGGACGGUCACACUGGGACUGAGACACGGCCCAGACUCCUACGGGAGGCAGCAGUGGGGAAUAUUGCACAAUGGGCGCAAGCCUGAUGCAGCGACGCCGCGUGAGGGAUGGAGGCCUUCGGGUUGUGAACCUCUUUCGCCAGUGAAGCAGGCCUGCCUCGUUUGUGGGUGGGUUGACGGUAGCUGGAUAAGAAGCGCCGGCUAACUACGUG
rnacentral:rRNA from 1 species